GCGAACGCUGGCGGCAGGCUUAACACAUGCAAGUCGAACGGGCACCUUCGGGUGUCAGUGGCAGACGGGUGAGUAACACGUGGGAACGUACCCUUCGGUUCGGAAUAACUCAGGGAAACUUGAGCUAAUACCGGAUACGCCCUUUUGGGGAAAGGUUUACUGCCGAAGGAUCGGCCCGCGUCUGAUUAGCUUGUUGGUGGGGUAACGGCCUACCAAGGCGACGAUCAGUAGCUGGUCUGAGAGGAUGAUCAGCCACACUGGGACUGAGACACGGCCCAGACUCCUACGGGAGGCAGCAGUGGGGAAUAUUGGACAAUGGGCGCAAGCCUGAUCCAGCCAUGCCGCGUGAGUGAUGAAGGCCUUAGGGUUGUAAAGCUCUUUUGUCCGGGACGAUAAUGACGGUACCGGAAGAAUAAGCCCCGGCUAACUUCGU
rnacentral:rRNA from 1 species